GACCCCGCACAAGCGGCGGAGCAUGCGGCUUAAUUCGAUGAUACCCGUAGAACCUUACCUGGACUUGACAUAUAGGGAAAAAACUAAAGAAAUUUAGUGUGCGUAAGCGCCCUAUACAGGUGGUGCAUGGCUGUCGUCAGCUCGUGUCGUGAGAUGUUGGUUAAGUCCCGCAACGAGCGCAACCCCUGUCCUAUGUUGCCAGCAAGUAAUGUUGGGGACUCUAGCCAGACUGCCUACGCAAGUAGUGAGGAAGGUGGGGACGACGUCAAGUCAUCAUGGCCCUUACGUCCAGGGCUGCACACGUGCUACAAUGGUCGGUACAAUGGUCGCCACCCAGCGAUGGGGCGCAAA
rnacentral:rRNA from 1 species